GUCCCGCCCACUGACCGGUCUGCAGACUCACACAAAUACAGUUGUGUGCUUCAUAAAAAUGCACUCAGAUGCGUCAAAUUUCCAGCUGAACUCUCAUUUGUCCACACUGGCCAGUAUCCACAAGAUCUACCACACCCUGCACAGGCUGUGUGAUUCUGGCGGGUAGGCC